UGGCCGCAGGGUCCGCAGGAGCAGGUAUGCCAACGGGGGGUGGCAUUCAAUAGUCAACGCACAUUGGGACAUGGGACUCACUUUGAAUGACCUAAGUGCCUUUAUUCUGGUUUCCGUUUUUAAUUUUGGGAGAUAAUCAAAUAGCACAUUUCUGAGGUUUUGAGACAUGACUUACCAUUCACGUUCCCAAGAGAAGUGCUGGUCCUGUGUUCAGGUCCUCAAGCCUUCAGCGGUGCGACCGUUUACGUGUGCGACCUCCAGCACUGAACGCGACGGCAGCCCACGCGUGUCCCUGGGACCAAAGCCCAGGUCCAAAAGGGCGCAUACUGGCCUCACAUUUCAAGUCCUGAUCUCAAAAACAGUGCGCCACACCACAAGGACGUUCGUCUCCUGGGACAAGGGAGAGUUGGGCGGAUGUACCGAAAUUUGAACAAAAUGCAAAAUUGACGCGUUGGAGCCCUCCACCCGAGAGCACGCAAGCCUGGCGGAAAAACCGAACGGCCACGGAGGACAGCGGCCACCCCAUGCCACGACGGCAGGGAAGCGGAAGGAGGGCUUUCAGUCAGGUCCGGAAAGAAGACAAGAGGAGGACAAUUCCAGGCUGAAGGGUUGGAGCAGAGGCACAGGGACCACCACGUGCGCUGUGUGGCUCGGGCUCGGCAAGCGGGCCUUUUUGGUGAUGAAGGACCUUCGCUCCCGUGAUCUCCUCCACCUUCAGAACGAUCCGUAGAACCGUCGUCACAUGACACAGGGGAGGAACCAGCUGCUGCCCAGAAGCGACGCAGGCACUUUUGGGAACGUGGCCUUUGCUGGUUUGGGCGCACUGCCUUCUUCUCUCCCAGCCCGUUAUUCCUGUUCGGGGAAGGCUUUCCCACCUGUAUUUUCCCAGAAGCCUAACGGUCACGGGCCUCGCGUCUUCUCCGGGCUUACCCGCCCGUUAGCCGGGCUCACCUCCUCGUCCGGGCUCGGCCGUCACGUGCGAGCGGACAUCUGCAACCGCCCCCGCGGGCCGCGGAGGAAACAAAUCCCAGACACUUAGCAGUAUUUUUCAGGAUUGUGAUUUUUGAUUUCUUUUAAGAAUCUUUUUUAACAUGGCCUUCGUUUGAAGUUGCUUCAAAUCUCUCUCGGAAAACAAGAGAAGCUCAAAA